rfam:Morus notabilis contig10755, whole genome shotgun sequence.
AACCCAUGGUGGGGACAUAGAUUUAACAGAUCUUUAAAACACUCCCAAGCUUGAUAAAGAGUUUCAUUUUCCUUAUGAGAGAAAGUCGAGAUUUGUCAUUUCAAAUU